rnacentral:rRNA from 1 species
CAGUAGCCGCGGUAAAACGAGGGGGGCAAGCGUUGUUCGGAAUUAUUGGGCGUAAAGGGUGCGUAGGCGGUUUGAUAAGUCAUCUGUGAAAUCUAUGGGCUCAACCCAUAGUCUGCAGGCGAAACUGUCGGGCUUGAGAGUGGGAGAGGUGAGUGGAAUUUCCGGUGUAGCGGUGAAAUGCGUAGAUAUCGGAAGGAACACCUGUGGCGAAAGCGGCUCACUGGACCAUUUCUGACGCUGAUGCACGAAAGCUAGGGGAGCAAACAGGAAUAGAUACCCCCGUAGUCCCUGUCUCUUAUAC